rnacentral:lncRNA from 13 species
CCCAGGUGGUGCCCUUAUGAGCUCACAGUCAGGUGGCAAGAGACACAUGAAUGCUCAAUGUCUCUCUGGAGUGACCUGGGCUGUUACAGAAGUGAGCAAGUCCUGGGACAAGCACAGAAGAAGGGCCUGAGUCUGAAGGAAGUGGCUGAGAGGAGAUCUUUGUCUGGGGACAGGCUGCAUUCAGUGAUCACGCUGCCUCGCUGAAGUAUGUGGCCCAGAAGGAGUGGACAGAGGUCGAUGAAAGCUUUGGAGGAGGCCAUUCCAGCGCUCAACAAUACCAGGGAGUCUGGUGUGUUCAUUGAGUACUUUGACUACCUUGCCUGGCCUGAAAACAUAUAGUUUUUGACUUUGUGCUCAGUCCACGAUGGGGAAUGUGUUGCCACAUCUUGUUUGGUGAUGGAUCUAGGCAGUGAUGGGAGUAGUAUAGGCAGUCAAGGCUGGAUCAGCAGCUUGACUACAAUUUGUCUCAUUAGAGAAGGGCCCUUACCAUGGGCAUCUCUGUGAGCAACUUGAGCUUCUGAUUGGCAGCUGAAAUUAUUUCCACAAUAUGCAGCUGCAACAGGGAAUGUCUUUAAUCUUCCAGUCUUGUGGGCAAGAUAGCUAGGUCAUUGGCAACCACACAAAAGGCAGUAAAAAUGUAGCAGGGCUCAUCGCGGGGAGUAUUGGUCAGAACUAUCAGCACUCCCUUGAGCUCUAUCCAUUGAGUGGAGCAAUCAUGCUUGCUUUUUUGUUUUUUUUUGAGAUGGAGUCUUGCUCUGUUGCCUAGACUGGAGUGCAGUGGCACCGUCUCAACUCACUGCAACCCCUGCCUCCUGAGUUCAAGCAAUUCUCUUGCCUCAGCCUCCUAUGUAGCUGGGAUUAUCGGCCCGUGCCACCACGCCUGGCUAAUUUUUGUAAUUUUAGUAGAGACAGGAUUUCAUCACAUUGGCCAGACUGAUCUCGAACUCCUGAUCUCAUGAUCCACCUGCCUUGGCCUCCCAAAGUGCUGGGAUUUUAGGUGUGAGCCACUGCAUCUGGCCCAUGCCUGCUUUUGGUUCUGCAUAGCUGGUGCUGAGGUUGAACGUGGACACCAUAAGGUGUCAGCCUAGCCACACCAUCAGCAUACCAAGCCAGGUGCUUAGGGAAGCCCCUGUGACUUGAGGGCCCAAUUAAGCCACAGCUCUGCUUCAAGCGGUAAAGUAUGGAAAAAGGUUUCCCUUGAAGG